AUAAAAGUGUCUGCUAAAUGAAUAAAUGUAAAUUUAAAACUCGGUUAUGAUUUCAGAGUCAAACCCCUGGAGAAUGUUUUCAAAAGAUUUUUGAGGAGAUUGAGACGAUCACAGAUAAAGUGCUUCCUUUAAAUACUGUGAGAAACAUUUUCACUGUGGCCUUCAACGCUUCAGAGAAGAUUGUAGAGUCAUCAUCAUCAGCAAGCCCAACUGAACUAGCCUCUUAUGGAAACCGUGUGUUAAAAACUAGUGAGAAGCUCAUUUCUACAUUAGUGAAGCCGACAGUCACAAGUGCCAGUGUCAGUUUUACUCUUCCUGCUGUAGUUAGAGAUAUAAAGGUGCCAGAAGACUGCAACAGUCAGACCCCUGGAGGAUGUCUUCAAAAGAUUUUUGAGGAGAUUGAGACGAUCACAGAUCAAGUGCUUCCUUUAAAUGUAAGUCUUCAGGA